UACGGAGGAUGCAAGCGUUAUCCGGAAUGAUUGGGCGUAAAGCGUCCGCAGGUGGCAAUGUAAGUCUGCUGUUAAAGAGUCUAGCUCGACUAGAUAAAAGCAGUGGAAACUACAUAGCUAGAGUACGUUCGGGGCAGAGGGAAUUCCUGGUGUAGCGGUGAAAUGCGUAGAGAUCAGGAAGAACACCGGUGGCGAAGGCGCUCUGCUAGGCCGUAACUGACACUGAGGGACGAAAGCUAGGGGAGCGAAUGGG
rnacentral:rRNA from 1 species